AGCUCUUGGGCGCGCGUGUAGUGCACUUUCGCCGGUGUGGAGUUCGCAGUGUGGUGUGGCUGUAGCUCUUGUCGAGCACCCCUCCUCCUACAUCCUCAUCAACACGGGAUGUCCGACAAAGUUGCUCGCUUCCUGCGUGUGCACUGCCACUGCAGUUUGGCAAGGAGCCUCCAGAAAAAUAGCUCUCUCAACUCGUUGCGGUUCCCCGGCGGCGGGAGAGAAGUGCACUGCACUAGGGUGGCUGGCGUCAUUUUUUUAAUUAUUUCAUCUUGCUGUAUGGUUCAGUCUCGCCAUGUUAUGUCGUUCACUUGAGGUAUCCUAUUGUUUGCAUUGGCAGCCCAUGUAGUUCUUUAAAAGAGAAUGUAGAGAUAAAAAUGCUGGUAAAAAGCAUUGUACAAUUCGUUUUGCUCA